rnacentral:tRNA from 1 species
GAGAUAUUAGUAAAAAAUUACAUAACUUUGUCAAAGUUAAAUUAUAGAAAUACAAUUCUAUAUAUCUCU